AACUCCCUGGGGUGUGCGUGAUUUAUGUCUUGGUGCUGACCUUACAAGCAUACAAAAGGGAGCCGUACCCGCUACCGGUGAGCAUGCCCGCAAGGGAAGCCUGAAGGGAGCGCCUCGGCGCCCACCUGGGAAACCAGGUUCUGCACCGAAGACAUGACACGGCACUCUGGGGCAUUU
rnacentral:other from 1 species